GUCCUUUAGAUUAGAAUUUAAGGUCUGACCUGCCCAAUGAGAGUUUAAAUGGCCGCAGUAUAUUGACUGUGCAAAGGUAGCAUAAUCAUUAGUUUUUUAAUUGAGAGCUAGAAUGAAUGGUUGGACGAAAUAUAGUCUGUCUUUAGAAUAUAAAUAGAAUUUAAUUUUUAAGUUAAAAAGCUUAAAUAUUAUUAAAAGACGAGAAGACCCUAUAGAUCUUUAUAUAAGAUUUUAUAUAAUUUUUAUGUAUAAAAAAUAUUUUUAUAAGAUUUUUUAUUUUAUUGGGGUAAUAGAAAGAUUAAAUAAAUUCUUUUUUUUAUUUACGUUGAUAAAUGAUUAAAAUGAUCCAUUAUUAUUGAUUAUAAGAUUAAGUUACCUUAGGGAUAACAGCGUAAUUUUUUUAGAGAGUUCUUAUCGAAAAAAAAGUUUGCGACCUCGAUGUUGGAUUAAAAUUAAUUUUAGGUGUAGAAGUUUAAAGUUUUAGUCUGUUCGACUAUUAAAAUUUUACA
rnacentral:rRNA from 1 species